rnacentral:rRNA from 1 species
UACAGAGGUCUCAAGCGUUGUUCGGAUUCAUUGGGCGUAAAGGGUGUGUAGGUGGCGCGCUAAGUCGGGUGUGAAAUUUCGGAGCUUAACUCCGAAACUGCAUUCGAUACUGGCGUGCUUGAGGACUGGAGAGGAGACUGGAAUUUACGGUGUAGCAGUGAAAUUCGUAGAUAUGGGGAGGAACACCGGUGGCGAAGGCGGUUCUCUGGGCCUGUACUGACGCUGAGGAGCGAAAGCGUGGGGAGCGAACAGG